rnacentral:rRNA from 1 species
AGUGAACGCUGGCGGUAGGCCUAACACAUGCAAGUCGAACGGCAGCACAGUAAGAGCUUGCUCUUACGGGUGGCGAGUGGCGGACGGGUGAGGAAUACAUCGGAAUCUACUUUUUCGUGGGGGAUAACGUAGGGAAACUUACGCUAAUACCGCAUACGACCUACGGGUGAAAGCAGGGGAUCUUCGGGCCUUGCGCGAUUGAAUGAGCCGAUGUCGGAUUAGCUAGUUGGCGGGGUAAAGGCCCACCAAGGCUACGAUCCGUAGCUGGUCUGAGAGGAUGAUCCGCCACACUGGAACUGAGACACGGUCCAGACGCCGACGGGAGGCAGCAGUGGGGAAUAUUAGACGAUGGGCGCAAGCCUGAUCCAGCCAUACCGCGUGGGUGAAGAAGGCCUUCGGGUUGUAAAGCCCUUUUGUUGGGAAAGAAAAGCAGCAGGUUAAUACCCCGCUGUUCUGACGGUACCCGAAGAAUAAGCACCGGCUAACUUCGUG